rnacentral:ncRNA from 1 species
AAUAAAUUUUUUAUGGUUUAAAAAUUUUAUUAAUAAUUUAUUUUACAUGUAAAUUUUAGUGUUAUAUUUAAUUUAUUUAAAUAAUAAAUUAAUUUUUUAUGCAGUAAUUAAUAUUAAAUAUUUAAGAAAUUAAGAUUUAGUAAUAUUAAAAUUAAUAACAAAUUUUGUGCCAGCAGUUGCGGUUACACAAAGAUUAAAUUAAAUUUUAUUAGUUAUUAAUAAUUAAAUUAUAUUAAUAAAUAAUAAAAAUUUUAAAUUAUUAGGUGAAAUUUUAAUUUAAUAAAAUAUUAUAAAUUUAAUUAUGAUUUAAUAAAUUUUUUAAAAAACUAGGAUUAGAUACCCUAUUAUUAAAAUUUAAAAUUAAAUACUAAAAUAGUAAAUAAUUAUUUAUUGAAACUUAAAUAAUUUGGCGGUAUUUUAGUUCAUUUAGAGGAAUCUGUUUAAUAAUUGAUAAUCCACGAAUAAAUUUACUUAAUUUAUAAUUUUGUAUAUCGUUGUUAAAAAAAUAUUUUUUAAUAAAAAUAAUAUUUUAAAUUUUUUAUAUAAAAUUAAAUCAGAUCAAGAUGCAGAUUAUAAUUAAGAAUAUAAUGGAUUACAAUAAAUUUAUUUAAAUGAAUAUUAAUUUGUAAUAAUUAAUUGAAAGUGGAUUUAAAUGUAAUUUUAUUUAAUUUAAUAAAAUGAUUAUAAAUUAAAAUAUGUACAUAUUGCCCGUCGCUUUCAUAUAUUAAUAAGUUGAAAUAAGUCGUAACAAAGUAGAGGUACUGGAAAGUGUUUCUAGAAAGAA